GAAGGAAAUGCCACACAGGAAGAAAAUCUGCCUUUUGAAGAUGAACUAGAAGAAGAAGAUUACUAUCCAAGCUUGCCCUUUGCUGCAAUUUUUUCUUGUUUGAAGCUGUUCAGUUUUGCAGACCAAGGCAAGUUUGACUUGCAAAAGGUUUUGGUUUGUUGAUCAGGCCAAAGGUUUGAAGGUCACCUGCUUAUUAUACUACUGCUCAGAAGGGGACAACAUACCAGAUGCUUUCCAUUUGGCCGAGGCGGCGAGCAAACUUCUGGGGAUAAGUCCCAGUAAGUUCCAUGGCAAUGAAGGUGGUAAAUAUAUGGCUCAUUCCAUAUUCGUGGAAGACUGUGUAUGGACCACCCCAGAUAUAUGCAUGUUUUAGGCUGUAUUGAGCUGAUGACCUGAGAUUGGAUCUGCAAGAAUGAGGUGCUUCCUAAAUCUUCAUUCUUCUUCUUCUUACCUUAAGGUGGUUUUGAGUUAUG